AUUGAACGCUGGCGGCAUGCUUUACACAUGCAAGUCGAACGGCAGCGCGGGCUUCGGCCUGGCGGCGAGUGGCGAACGGGUGAGUAAUACAUCGGAACGUGCCCAGUAGUGGGGGAUAGCUCGGCGAAAGCCGGAUUAAUACCGCAUACGACCUGAGGGUGAAAGCGGGGGAUCUUCGGACCUCGCGCUAUUGGAGCGGCCGAUGGCAGAUUAGCUAGUUGGUGGGGUAAAGGCCUACCAAGGCGACGAUCUGUAGCUGGUCUGAGAGGACGACCAGCCACACUGGGACUGAGACCCGGCCCAGACUCCUACGGGAGGCAGCAGUGGGGAAUUUUGGACAAUGGGCGAAAGCCUGAUCCAGCAAUGCCGCGUGUGUGAUGAAGGCCUUCGGGUUGUAAAGCACUUUUGGCGGGAACGAAAAGGACUGUGCCAAUACCACGGUUCGAUGACGGUACCCGCAGAAUAAGCACCGGCUAACUACGUG
rnacentral:rRNA from 1 species